GCUUAACGCGAAGAACCUUACCAGGUCUUGACAUCCUCUGACAACCCAGAGAUAGGGCUUCUCCUUCGGGAGCAGAGUGACAGGUGGUGCAUGGUUGUCGUCAGCUCGUGUCGUGAGAUGUUGGGUUAAGUCCCGCAACGAGCGCAACCCUUGAUCUUAGUUGCCAUCAUUUAGUUGGGCACUCUAAGGUGACUGCCGGUGACAAACCGGAGGAAGGUGGGGAUGACGUCAAAUCAUCAUGCCCCUUAUGACCUGGGCUACACACGUGCUACAAUGGACGGUACAAAGAGCUGCAAGACCGCGAGGUGGAGCUAAUCUCAUAAAACCGUUCUCAGUUCGGAUUGUAGGCUGCAACUCGCCUACAUGAAGCUGGAAUCGCUAGUAAUCGCGGAUCAGCAUG
rnacentral:rRNA from 1 species